UAGCUGUUCUAGGUAGAUGAUUAGCACGAAUGGUGGUGGUGACAUGAAUUUGGUCUGGGAGGAUCUUCGGAGGAAGUUAGGACAGGUGGAGGUUUCAACAUCCCUCCUGUGACCCAUCUACUUUUCUUAUAUUUGGCUUCCUUCUCGACCCACAUCCCUCCUUUCUGCUGCCAAAUAAGUGGUGAGGUCUAUGUCGUGUGGACAAGAGUCACAAAAAGUCACAUGCAUUUUUCAGAAUGUGCAUUCACGCCCUUUCCCAUUAUUAGGAAAAAUGCAGUUUCCUUGAGAGUCACCUUACCACGUUUCUUGCUUUGGCUUUCUUUCUCUUGAAGUGUGGAGCCAUCUGUCACAUCUGUGAUGGAGAUGUAGAAAGCACUUCUUUACUUUAAGAAGAUCAACACCGUGGAUAUGAUAACCAAUGGCAGCUGAUACUGGGCCUUAGAGCUGGGGACGCCAUGGGACUGGUGGGGUCCAAAGAGAACACAUGCCAAGCAGGAGGAGCUCUGCUUCUCUGCACCCAUCUCUGACUGCUGGGAAAGCAUCAUCAGCUCUUCCUAUUUUUUAAAGAGAAGCUAGAAAUCUGAAUUGAAAAAUUUCAGGCCAAAACUGGCACACAAUCUCUUAAAAAUACAGCUAGAACAAACAAAAUAUGAUUUGGUUUGACAGCAGGUGGGUUAUAACUUCUGAGUUACUUGUUCUUUAAAAAAUCCCUCCCAGGCCCUCACAUUCGGGUAUUCUUUCUCAAAAACCAUAACCUUAAUCUAUUCAUGAGACAGUAUCAGACAAUCCCAAUGGAGGGAAUUCUAUGAAACAUCUGACCAGCACUCGUCAACAUUGUCACAGUCAUGAUAAACAAGGAAAAGCAGACUGAACAAGUGUCACAGAUCAGGGCAGACUAGGGACACAUGAUGACCCGAUGCAGUCUAAGAUCCUGGAAUGUUAGUGGAAAAAUUGGUGAAAAUCUGAAUAAUGUCUGGAGUUUAGUUGAUGGUAUGUUAAUUUCUUAAUUUUGACAAAUGCAGCAUAAUGAAAAAUGGUAACAUUUUUGAAAAGUGGGUGAAAGGUAUAUGGCAACUCUCUGUACUACAUUUGUAACUUUUCUGUAAAUCUAAAAUUAUUCCAAAGUCAAAAGUUUAUUCAAAAGAAAAAGUCCCUUCCAAGCUCGAGAUAACCUUUGGUUGUCAUGGUUCUGCAAAUGAGGCUGGGUUUCCAAUGUCAAAACACACGCUGUCCUAUUGGUGUUCCUUCUUUCGACCUGUGAGUGCUUAGCACAGUGUUGCGCCUUACUGUCCUUUCCUUUUAGAUCACAGGGUUCCAAGACUCCUGAAACGGGCCUGCAGGUUAGCCCAGAAGCAUACAGGUGGUCUGGCAACUUUGCUGUACAAGAUGGCGUCUCUCUUCCUAUUAGUAAGAGAAGGUCUACUCUGCAGUCAUGCACACUGCCGCCCUCCCACUGGAACUGCCUUGCAAUGGCUGGAGUCAGUUUGAAAUUCACAGGCAGAGGCUUAGGUGCACUCCCAGCGCUGACAUUUUGCCUGAGGAUAUGGAGGUUUGACCUGAAAGCCAGGCUGUGCAGCUGGAUCAUUUUCUAUAUGGCUCCUGGCUUGGUGUCGUAGGAUCCAAGAAGACCCCCUCCUUUCCAAGACAACAUUCCCAGAGUCAGGAAAAUUGGCGAGGCAGACAGGGCUGAAGUGAGCUGUCAGGGUGAGGAAGGGGCCUGCAUGGGAGUGAGAAACCCUUACAAAUGUUUUCAUCUUCCCGGAGGAGUUAAGUUUCUCUAAAUUUGUGGUCCCUCCGACUCCACAGGAAUUGUAUCUUUCUGCAGUGUUCCCAGGCAAUUAUUCCUCCUCACAAAGCUGAGCCUCCCCUUUCAGGACCCAAUCAAGUGGCCACAAAUCAAAGAUAGCUUGGACUCAUUCCACUAAUAGCAUUGGAAAGCCAUUAGCUGAAGUUGUUUGAAAAGGGAAGUGGCUCAGAUAUCUCUGGGCUCACAAGGAAAGCUUCUGUAAUGUCAGAUUAUGGUUACCAAAUGGCUUAGUGGACUGCGGCAUCACAUUUCUCAUAAUGAGAGGUUAUUUAUUGCACCACUGAACCAACACACUCUCCCUUGCUCACUUGCACAAGAUAAGAUGAAGAGCCCUUUCAAGUUGAAUUAAGUUUAAAAGGAAAAGCAACACACAUGCUCCCAGCUAAUGGUGGGGUUUAGCUCAGGCUGUGUAGGGACGAAGUGUAGAUGGCUCCCUCUGUGGGUGGUCGGAGGGGCUCUGCAAGGCUCUCCUUGCCCCAGUCUCUAAUGCUUGCGGAUGAACUCCCUCGGACCAUUUCUUUUGGGUAAGGCACUGUUUCCAAGAAAGCCUUUGUCAAAAUGUUAAAAACUUGCCCCAUUCAACGUCCUCAACCUAACAGGAGCUCCUCUUUCUUAGGGGGAACUUCCUCCAGCGCCCCCUUCCCGUGGUUCCGACCGGCUGUCAAUCCCAGCACUCCCCGCUCUCGCCCGCCCACGGAGGGGGCAUGGGUCCCUCCCUCGGGGCACAGUGAUUGGCUCAGGGAUGGGCACAUGACAGAGCUUGGGCCAAUCAGAGGCCUCUCCUAGGAGUGCUUUGAGGAGAGCUCAGAGAGGCAGCAUUUUAACCCAAGAGGUUGGAGGGAGGGAUCGGAAGCGAGGCUUCCAGAGAACCUGUUUUUGGUGGCAGAAAAAGCCGCAUGUCCACUGGACAGAAUGAAAGCAUGUGAGGCUUUCAAUUACAAGUCAUCCUGGCAUUGGUUCAAAGUGCCCCAACAGCCCCUGGAGCCCUGCGGCUGGGCAGAGCGGCCCACGUGGCUUUUUCGAUCUCCAGGGUGUGACAACGUCGCUGUGGCCUUGGCAGUGAUGGAGGAGGGGCGCUGGGAACACGCUGGAAGACAGGCAUCGAACUGAAAUCAAAUUUACCAGCACACGUAUUCUUGGGUCUUUGCGCAGCAUGGACCAUGUCAGGGAAGAUGGAGACACCUUCACGGCCGGUUAGUCACAUCUCACCAAAGCUUCUCAAUGGGCUGUCAGACAAGAAAGGAGCCUCAUGUAGCCACCUUAAUCAGCAUCCCCCAUCUGUGAGGUCAUCGGGAUGUUUCAAACAAUUUCCAGCUCUCAUUAGUUCAGCGUGUUCCACAGGCAAGUCCUUAUCUUUUGUAACUUUUGCUGCCACAUCCUGAGAGAGCCUCUCCUCGGAAUGACACUUUCCCCAUGGGUCAACCCGCGGUAAUGAGCCACCAAUUGACGUGCCCUUUGCACUCACUGGCAGUAUAUGUUGAUAUUAACCUUUCGUGUUGUGAGAUGUCGCUUUUACCCUUGGCUUCUGCCAUGUAAGUCUCAUUAUUUCUAAUAGGCUGUGGCAAUUAGGGUCUUGGGGCUGUUGAUCGCAGCCAUUUGGAGCAGGGAAGGGGCACUCAGGGAGAACAGCCGCUUUUUCUUUACAUGAACAAUGUGAGGCAUAGCUCAGCCCAAAUCUGCAAACAGCGAGGCAGUGGUGGACCUCUGGCCACCGAUGGGAAACUCCUCACCAGGUCUUUUCACAUGUGCUUUCCUCACACUAGCUACUGGCUGUUUUCAAACCCCUUUUGUGUAGAAUGCCAUGCUCCGCCCAUAUUUCAGUGCAUUGGAUUUGGCCUAAUAAGGGAUUCAUGAAACACAAUUAUUUGGGAAAGAAAUGGGUACGUUCAAAGAGACCUUUCGUUUUUCUUUCUUUCCAAGAUGGUUGGCUGGGAGAGAAAAAGGAUGACGCAGCCAGCUAGCCAUCUUGGGUGGCCCAUGGGCCCUGUGAGGAGGCAGUGUUGAGCCCAAUGGCCCCAGGAAGGCCCCUCGGCCUUGUGAUUGGGAAAUCUUGACUCCUGAUGGAAUUCUGUGGUUGUUGAAAUCUGGUAGGCCUCUCAUGGCUGUGAAUAAGUUAAGAAUCCAUUCCCUUAAGGUUAGAAAAAUAAACUCGUACAAUCCUAAGGGUCUGAGGGGUAAGGAAAUGAAGGGGGGAAAGUCUACACUAGAGAAAGUACACAGGAAACCACAAAUAACCAAAAACAUAUAGAGUCAGCACUCACAUUCUCUCAGUUUCUUGACCUGAACUGCUUUCUAUAUUAGGAGGGCAACAAAGCAAAAUUAAGCAUGCUUGUUGCUUCAGAUGGGGUGAGAUGGAAGGCUAAGGGACAACUGAGAGGAAAGGCUGGAGUUUAUUUGUAAGCGGUGAGGCUUGAAUGUUCUACAUCAGGAUGAAGUGUUUCCAAACAAAUGCAAGAAAAAUCCCCUAUAUUAAUCUGAUUGUUUAUGACAAUAGCAUUUGGGAAAGCCCCUCCAAUGACUGCCUCAUAUAUUAAGGGCAUGCAGUGUCAGAGACUGCUGAAAUGAUCACUCUUGGUGAUAUAAUGGUAUGGUCUAUUUCUGAGAGCCCCUUGCUGAUUUAUUCUUUGCUCUGCAAAAUGUCACAUUAAAACGUAAGUUCAUUUCAGUUGGGUUGGUCCACAGUAUGAACAGAUGGCAGUUGUGAUGUGGAGACUUCAAAAGGUAUCAUUAAAAGUUAAUUCUUCCUUGAGUAAGUAAGAAGUCUCCCGAAGCAAGCCAUAAGAAGUUUCCCUCCUCCCUCCCCCUUUUCCUUCCUUCCUUCCUUCCUUCCUUCCUUCCUUCCUUCCUUCCUUCCACAAACAUUGAACCAACUUGCAUGUGAGUAGGUGUUGGUCUGGGAGCUAUUGACAGCCCAGCAGUGUGUGAAGCAGGGCCUUGUUUCCAGAGGACUUCAAAGGGGACUAGAUGUACAGAGGAUGCUAACCUCAGACAACACAAAAAGAAUGAUUCACAUAAGGGACAGCUGGAAUCCAGAAGAUAGGUAAUAUAGUUAAUUAUUGCCAGGCUUUGAGGUGCCACACUUUAUUCUUACCCUCUGUACCAGGGCCGGAAUGUAAGCUCCAGUGGGAUGAGCACCUAGAACAGUGCCUGGCAUCGAGAUGCACUGAAUAUUUGUUAAUGAAAAACACAGACA